rnacentral:lncRNA from 1 species
CAUACUCCCUAUCAGACUCUACUUUACCUUUCAUUUUAACAUACCCCAUAUCAGACUCUAUUUUAUCCUUCCUUUUUACAUACUCCAUAUCAAACUCCACUUUAUUUUUCGUUUUUGCAUACUCCCUGUCGGCCUCCAUUUUAUCUUUGUUCCUUUUUACAUACUCCAUAUCAGGCUCCACUUUAUCUUUCAUUUUUACAUACUCCCUGUCGGCCUCCAUUUUAUCUUUCUUUUCCACUUUAUCAGUUAGCUCAAAGUCAUUAACUUGGUCCUCUUGAGUGAACAAAGAAGACUCG